rnacentral:rRNA from 1 species
UAGGGAAUAUUGCGCAAUGGGGGAAACCCUGACGCAGCAACGCCGCGUGAGUGAGGAAGGUCUUCGGAUUGUAAAACUCUGUUCUUAGGGAAAAAUGGCCACUGAGGUAAUAUUUCGGUGGAUUGAUGGUACCUAAGGAGAAAGCACCGGCUAACUUCGUGCCAGCAGCCGCGGUAAUACGAAGGGUGCAAGCGUUGUUCGGAAUUAUUGGGCGUAAAGCGCGCGCAGGCGGAUUGACAAGUCAGAUGUGAAAUCUCGGGGCUCAACCUCGAAACUGCGUCUGAAACUGCCGAUCUAGAAUGUCGGAGGGGGUAGGGGAAUUUCACGUGUAGGGGUAAAAUCCGUAGAGAUGUGAAGGAACACCGGUGGCGAAGGCGCCUACCUGGACGACUAUUGACGC